ACUCCAUGAAGCUGGAUUCGCUAGUAAUCGCGCAUCAGCCAUGGCGCGGUGAAUACGUUCCCGGGCCUUGUACACACCGCCCGUCAAGCCAUGGGAGUCGGGAGUGCCUGAAGUUCGUGACCGUCACAGGAGCGACCUAAGGCAAGACCGAUGACUGGGGCUAAGUCGUAACAAGGUAGC
rnacentral:rRNA from 1 species